UGCAAGCGUUAUCCGGAAUGAUUGGGCGUAAAGCGUCCGCAGGUGGCUGUGUAAGUCUGCUGUUAAAGAGUCUAGCUCAACUAGAUAAAAGCAGUGGAAACUACACGGCUAGAGUACGUUCGGGGCAGAGGGAAUUCCUGGUGUAGCGGUGAAAUGCGUAGAGAUCAGGAAGAACACCGGUGGCGAAGGCGCUCUGCUAGGCCGUAACUGACACUGAGGGACGAAAGCUAGGGGAGCGAAUGGG
rnacentral:rRNA from 1 species